GUGGCGGCCCCGCCUGAGCUGAUCCCCCGGGAUGUGACCCUCUCUGAGCUUCACAGCGGGUUUCAGGAACCAACUCAGAAGGUCGUUUUGAGGACGGGAGGAUUUGAACUGCUCAAAGCCUGCUUAACUACGUAAAUGGUGCACAGAAGACAAGAAUUAAGGUUUGAGAACCUCCACCUAGGUUUCAGAGGAUGUUUGGAAUUGCCUGGAUGUCUAGGCAGAAGUCUGCUGCAGAGGCAGAGCCCUCAUGCAGAACCUCUGCUAGGGCAGUGCUAAAGGAAAUAAUGGGGUCAGAGCCCCUAUACAGCGUCCCCACUGGGACACUGCCUAAUGAAGCUGUGAGAAGAGGGCUACUGUCCUCCAGACCCCAGAAUGAUAUCCACUGACAGCUUGCACCAUGCACCUGGAAAAGCCACAGACAUUCACUGCCAGCUGUGAAAGCAGCUGGGGUGGGGAGCUGUACUCUACAAAGACACAGGGACAGAACUGCCCAACAUUAUAGGAGCCCACCCUUUGCAUCAACAUGAACUGGGUGUGAAAUAUAGAGUCAAAGGAGAUCAUUUUGGAACUUUAAGGUUUAAUGACUGCUCUAUUAGAUUUCGGACUUGUGGGGGGCCUGUAGCCCCUUUGUUUUAGCCAAUUUCUUCCAUUUGGAAUGGGUUUAUUUACCCAAUACCUGUACCCCCAUUGUAUCUAGGAAGUAACUAACUUGCUUUUGAUUUUACAGGCUUAUAAGCAGAAGGGACUUGCCUUGUCACAGAUGAAACUUUACAUGGAGUUUUCAGUUAAUGCUGGAAUGGGCUAAGACUUUGGGAGACAGUUGGAAAGGCAUAAUUGUGUUUUGAAAUGUGAAAACAUGAGAUUUGAGAGGGGCCAGGGUGGAAUGAUAUGGUUUCACUGUGACCCCACCAAAUCUCAUCUUGAAUUGUAGUUUCAUAAUCCCCACAUGUGGUGAGAUGUAAUUAAAUCAUGAGGGACAUCACUCCCCAUACUGUUCUUGUGACAAUGAGUAAUUUCUCUCAAGAUCUGAUGGUUUUUAUAAGGGGCUUUUCUCCCUUUUGCUCAGCACUUCUUGCUGCUGCCAGGUGAAGAAGGACAUGUUUGUGUCCUCUUCUGCCAUGAUUGUUAAGAUUCUGGAGGCCUCCCUGCCAUGCUGAACCAUGAGCUAAUUAAACCUCUUGUCUUUAUAAAUUACCCAAUCUUGGGUAUUUCUUCAUUGCUGCAUGAGAACAGACUAAUACAACCCUCUAGUGGAACACUGCUCUUACAGCCUGAUUCUGCUAUAGAUUCUGCUCUUCCUAUGGCUUGUUUGGCUUUCUUUGGAUGCUUUUUCAAUAACCUCCCUCAUUACUUAAGGGAACUGUAGCCUUUGUUUCUUGUAACCAGGAGAAUCUAACCAACACCUUAGGCAUUUUUUAUAUACCACCCAUGUGUCUAGCACUAGAAGACAAAGGACAUAUCUCUUAACCUUAAGGAGUUAUACUCGGGAAACAUAAGACAUAUGCACAUUAAGCAUUUAUAGAUAAUUAAAGGGUAAUACAAAUAAAGGCCAAAUUGGGUAAAAAAAUGAGUACUGAAUGAAUGCAGAAAACAUAGAUAUGGAUGUGGGCUGCAGAAAGCUGCAAUAGGGAGAGAAGGGAAAUUAUAUUUUAAUAAAAAUUGAAUACCUACUUUUAUAGGAACUUCAGCUUGAUAUUUAUAAAUUGUGAGAGAGGAAUCAUUACUGUUUUCUACCUACGUCCAGUAUAGAUCUUAGAACCAUGGAGAGGCCUCAUAAUAAGCUUCCAUUUCAUCUUGGAGCAAAGCACCCAAAAUGGUGGCAGAGGCCACCCAGCAUAAUUUAUGCCUUAUCAAUGAUAAAAAGUUAAAUGGGGAUUGGUGAAGAUGGACAAGGUGGAGCUUUAAAAAAAAUAGAAUAGAGCAGCCCAAACUUGAACCAUAGGGUCUUUAUUGUCAUCUGCAGUAGCCAUGUUGAAAGAACAUGUACAUUUACCAUGAGAAGGGAGACUUACUGAGUUGACAUUUUCAGCGUGACCCCAGAAUGCAAUAUGGUUUGACUAUGAUUUGUGUGAAUUACAGUAAGAGAGCCUCUCAACUCGGCCUGUGUUUGGAAACAAUGGCCCACCCCAUGGUUUAGGCAAUGCUGUAUGCAUUCUGAGGGGCGUGGUUCCUUAUUUACAGAUGAAGAAAAGCCUGAGGAUAUCUAACAUCUUAAGUCUUCUAUAACCAGGGUAGAAGGAAUUCUAACUUGAAACACUAAUUUCAGUUUGCAAAGGGAAAUGAGUUCUAAGAGAGGAAGAAACUGUUUCAGGAGACCUUUUGAAAUCUGUCCUUUGGCCGGGCACGGUGGCUCACGCCUGUCAUGACAGCACUUUGGGAGGCCAAGGCAGGUGGAUCACAAGAUCAAGAGAUCAAGACCAUCCUGGUCAACAUGGUGAAACCCUGUCUCUACUAAAAAUACAAAAAAUUAGCUGGGCAUGGUGGCAUGUGCCUGUAACCCCAGCUACUUGGGAGGCUGAGGCAGGAGAACUGCCUGAACCCAGGAGGCGGAGGUUGUGGUCAGCCAAGAUCACGCCAUUGCACUGCAGCCUGGGUAACAAGAGCGAAACUCCGUCUCAAAAAAAAAAAAAAGAAAAAGAAAUCUGUCCUUCAGAUUCACAUUGAAUAUAAGGGAAAUAGCCACCAAUCCUUUGAGUGUGAAAGAGCCAACGUUAAUUUCUUCCUGGAUCUAAAACUGCCAAGUGGAAAUUUGUAUCAGUGACUGCUUGACCCACUUUCCUUUCUUGCUUUGAGGGCACAUCCUUACAUGAGCCUAAUCAUUUAUUUGCCAAGAGAAUAAUUAACGUUUUAGAGCCUCUGUGCUAGUUAAUAAUGUAAGCCAAAAAUAAAACUCUUAGCUCUCCACCCAUCUGAACAAACCCCUCCUCAGCCAAGGGUAUUCAAAAGUUAACUUGAAAAACUAGUUCAGGCCAUGAUGGGAAGAGGAUGUUGGACAUGCCUCACAGCUGACCAGCAUUAACAUCAGCACAACAUCAGACUGACAGAACAGACUCUUUAAGUCUAAUAAGAAACAUUUACAAUUGAUUUUCUCUGAAGCCUUCUACCUAGAGGCUUUAUCUACAUCCUAAAACCUUGAUCUCUACAACCCCUUAUCAUAAUCCAGACAUUCCUUUCUAUUGAUUCCAUGUCUUUAGGUAAUAAUCAGUUGCCAAUCAGAAAAUCUUUGAAUCUGCCUGUGACCUGGAAGUCCUCUCACCCCCCAUCCCUGCUUUCAUUUAUCCUGCCUUUAUAGCAGAGACAAUGUACAUCUUACAUGUAUUGAUUGAUGUCAUAUGUCCCCCUGAAAUGUAUAAAACCAAGUUGUAGCGGAACCACUUUGGGCACAUGUUCUGAGGAUCUCCUGAGGGCUGUGUCAUGGGCCACCAAUCAUUCUUAUUUAGCUCAGAAUAUAUCUCUUCAAAUAAUUUACAGAGUUUGGCUCUUUCACUUACAGUAAUUUGGCACCUAACAUCAGGCCCCAGAGAAGACUCAGAGCCCUGAAGGAGUUGCCUGAACUUGGAGCCAAGGUACCAGUAGGAGCCCACUGAAAGCUCUCCCCACCUUUGAGCUUUUCCUCCAGUGGAACUGCUAAGUCCUCCUCAGCCCUGGACCUCCCAUUUGGUUGAUGGUCCUUGAUUUAUUCUGAGGUUGUUUUUUGUUUUUUGGUUUUUUUCCCUUCUAGAAAGUUAUUUAGGGUCCCUGUCUAGUUCAGAGGUGCAUUCUAAAGGGUGUUCUCCAUUGCUUUUUUCCAAAGAUAAGGAGAAUGACCCCCUUUUGGGCACCUCAUUUGGUUUCUAGUUUGGAGGUGCAUUCUAGAGUCUUCUCCAUUGCUUUUUCUUACAAAAUUAAGCUCAGUUGGCUUGGCUGCACAUUUGUAUGAGGAACUGAACUGUUAUUUUCAUAGAUAAAUGAGACUGAGAUCCUCAGCUCUGAAGAAAAAGGGAAUUUUGUUUUUCCCAGUUGAAAGGUGCCUCUGUAAAAGUGUCUGGGUGGUUUGAUUUCCCAAGACAUGCAGUGGCCCUAGAGGGAACCCCCAAGAAAAUUAGUUUAGAAAGGUUCUUCCAGGAAACACAUAUAAGAGCUGAUCACUUGUCAUUUUGAACCCUCUUGGAAAUAGUAGAACGCCAGAGAGAGAAACAGACAUCGAAGAGGGCGGAAAUCAUUCCAUGGUGAAACACUGUAGAGUUCUGCUCACAGUCAGCACUCGCUGAUCCACCACACACACAAAAAAAGAAGCCUAAAUGCUUUUCAAGUUUAUAUGACAUAAGUAAAAUCUCGAGUAAAUAAGAUGGCUUUAAAACUAUUGGUAAAGUAAUAUUAGAAAUAUCUUAAGAAUUUUCAGCAUUUUUUUUGUAUUUAUUUGAUCAAGCAGUUUAAUACUUAUCCCUGCCAUAUACUACUAUAAGAUGUCAACAUUUGACAUGAGGGUUAUAAAACUAUAAGCCCAACCCAAAACAGAAUGAUCUUUGCUUGUGUAAUUUUUUAUAAAGAUACUUAUAUUGUUGGUUUAAUGAAAAAAGCUAAAUCCUGAGUUAUUGGUUACAAUACCAGUAUAGUUAGCCUUAAGUUUCUUAGUCAGGUUAGCACUUGAAAUUCAUGGGCUAUAAACCUGGUUAACAGGGAAAUAUUUUAAAUAAUGAAUAUCAGUUUUCAUAAAUAAUCUAGGGAAACUAUAAUAAAUAAAUUAAUCAAAUAAAUGUAAUGGAAUAAAUGCUUCUAAACAAAUGUCAUAUAAUUUCCAAUCUAAAGUUGUAUUAAAUAAUAUCCACUAAAUGUCUGGGUAAUUUUCAACUUAAGAUUAUAGGAAAACAUUUCUUUUAAAAACAUGCUCUUCUUAAAAGGUAAAUAAGUUUUGUCUAGUUCAAAUGUUAUUUAAAGGAUAUAUGUAAAACAAGGUAAAAGGAACCAGGAAAUAAGAGACAUAAAGUUACAGAUGUAAAGAGGUAUUUUUGGUAAGGAAGGUUAAAAGAAAAAUGACUGUGUGAAAGAGGAUCUUAUAUGGUAAAUUUUUAUCUUAACAUAACAUGACUGGUUGUUUAAGAAAAAGGGAUAUUUAGGACAAACCAGAAAGUCCCAGCAUGUCGUGAAUGGUCUAUAUAAGUUGUAAUAAGAUUAGCAAAAAAAAAAAAAAAAGGAAUUUAUAUUUUUAAAAGUUAUAUAAUUAAGUUGGCUAUAAUUAAAAGGAAAUUAUAAUCUUUCUAGGAAUUGAACUUUGAUAUUAAAACUAAUGCAAACUAAAGAAUGUUAAACAAGCUUUUAUUUAAAAUAUUGACUUUGAAAACAAGAAGUUUUUAAUUUUUUAGUUCUAUAAUCUGUUUCUUUUUGAAAUCUUUGGAUAUCUCAGAAGUGCGACUUCUGCUGUACCCUGAUGCUUCAGCUCUUUCUCCCUUUUGAGAAGCCUUGGAUGGUAACUCUCUCCUUCAAUUUUUGUUGACUCCUGCAUUUUUUUGGGGAAAGGGAGAGAAUUUUUUAAAACAGCCAGAUGAGAAAAUAGAGAAUUUGCUUUUGCCUAUAUGUCUGUUAUGUCUAUAUGUUUGUAUAUGUCAUGUGGAAGUAAUAUUUCACUACCCAAAUUAUAUAAAAGAGCUCUAAUCAACUGACUUAAAGAAAUCUAAGUGCUUAUCAGACUGAUGGAAGCUAGCUCAGAUGCCUUUUAGUUCACAUGACUUUAGUAACAUUAAUUUGGUAAAUUUAAUCUUAAAAUUGUCUUCAGUAAUUUAAAAUUUUAAAGCCAUGUUAUGUUAAAGUAAGUAAUCCUUAUUUUUUCACUGGGAAUUUGGGUUACUAAGAGUUAAAAUAAUGGGAGAGCAAAAUGCUUUACUCUUCACCAAAAUAUUUUUUGGGGAAGUUUUAAAAAACACAAGGAUGUGGUUUUGGCUAAAGAAAUGUAAUUUUUUUUUUUUCCAAUUUCAAGACUAUUUAGGGCACACUUUAAAAUAAAGAAGAAGUAUAUAAAUUAAGUGGAUAGAGAGAAAAAUAAAAGGAUGGGUAAUGAAAAACCUUUGACUCCUAGGUGGUGUAUAGUCACCCACAGUAUGGAGCUGCAGCUGGCUACAUUUAGUUACUAAACAUAAAAGUUACCAGUGGAAUUUAGAGAUGGAUAGUACUCAGACUCCCAGGAAGUUAGUUCACUGAAUGCAUAAAGAAAUGCAAACUAAUAAGAAUAAAAACAACAUAUCCAAUCCCUUGCUAUCUGGUUAUUGCUAUCUGUAAUAGUUAAAAUGAAAUUAAAGGGCCAGAUGCAGUAAUCCCUGUAAUUACUCACACCUGUAAUCCCAACACACUGGGAAGCCAAGGUGGGCAGAUCACCUGAGGUCAGGAUUUCAAGACCAGCCUAAGCCGGGUGCGGUGGCUCACGCCUGUAAUAUUAGCACUUUGGGAGGCCGAGGUGGGUGGAUCACCUGAGGUCAAGAGUUCAAGACCAGCCUGGCCAUCAUGGUGAAACCCCAUCUUUUAUUUAAAAAAAGAAAAAAAAAAGACCAGCCUGGCCAACAUGGUGAAACCCUGUCUCUACUAAAGAUACAAAAAUUAGCCAGGCAUGGUGGUGGGUGCCUAUAAUCUCAGCUACUUGGGAGGCUGAAACAGGAGAAUUACCUGAACCAGGGAGGUGGAGGUUGCAGUGAGCCAAGAUCGCGCCAUUGCUCUCCAGCCUGGGCAACAAGAGUGAGACUCUGUCUCAAAAAAAAAGAAAGAGAGAGAGAAAAAGAAAUUAAAGGAGAAUUCUGGAUUUAACCUUGCUACUAGAACAAGGUCUGAUUUAAGUCAGUCUGAACUUAUGCCACCAGCCUCAAAGCUGUUCCCCAAGGGCAAAGUUAUGCAGGGACAACAGAAAGUGCCUCUAAGACUUGUGGUUACCAAGAAGAUAGUCAAUGUGAGAUAAAGGCAAAACCAAGUAACUAUUAAAACCAGAGCAUAUAACAUAAAAGAAUUUUUCCGUUUUGUAAAUUGGUAUCAUCAGCUUCCUGAAAAACCUUGUAAGAGCAACCAAUUUAAGGACAGUAUCUUUAAUUUUAAAUGCCACAUUAUGAAAGAGCAAGUUUGGGUUGACGCAGGACCCACAGCCCACUAUUAAACACUCACUGAUGAGUACAUGUGACUCAGUUGCAUAGAAGAUUAUUCCUGAGGGAACACCCAGCCUGAUGAACCAGAUAAAAGCCACUGUAAGGUCUGUUUACCCUGAUAAGGGGACUGCCCAACUCUCCUUUUUAAAUGCCAAGUGGAACACCCCAGAUGAAACAGCUGAUAUGCUUCAUAUGCAAACCAUGUGAGACAGGCUUUAUGAUGACCAGGAUAUCUCUCACUUAAUAUGCCUAUUACCCACGUCAUGGUAAAUGCUGUGGUUAAGAGAAUCCCUUCUACAUGGACACUCCAAAUGACAUUACUCCUGCAGAAUCAAACAACUGUUUGAGAAGCCUUAUCAAAUUUGCUAUCACUCAUGGGUCUUGCAGAUGCUUAUAAAACAUUAGGACAUGUAACCAAAAAUAAAUGGGGAAGGCAAAAGGAAGUCAAAGGACUCAUCCCAGAAGGGUGGAAACCUUUAGAUGGUUAUUAAGAAAUGAAAUAAAAUGAAAAUCAAUGGGGUUAAAACAAAGUUCUUUACAACACUGUCAAAAGUUGGGUGGACCAAAAGGAGCCCCUGUUGGUCCCUCAACAUUAAAGGGCCCCAUACAAGUUUCUGCAUUUGCCCCAGAUUGGAGAAAUUUAGGGAAAAUUAAAAGGCAAAGGUUAUAAUGAGAAAGCUGACAUUGCCUGGGGCAAUGUUGAGGCAAAUUAAGAUAAAGAUUGAUAGAAGAGGCUGAAUCCCUUGGCUCAACUCCCUGUUGGGAACCCAAAUCCUUUUUCACCAGAAAAGGUAAAAUGAUCUGGGGGUAAAGAAGUUCCUGGGACCAGAACAUAAAAAUGUAAAAGUUGACAGGAUCGUGAAAUUUGAGAUGUUUAAACAACUACCUUAUGUAAGGUAGUUGUGAGUCCUUUACCUGAAUGUCUUAUGAAAAUGGGUAUUCUGUCUGACUGGGGGAUGUUUCCCUAUCUAGUACUGUAAAAUUGAAGGCAUGUAAAUCUGUCUUUUGAGAAAUGUCAACUGGACAUGCUAAAUGAGAACUAGUAAGGUUCCCUGAGCACAGAAUAUAGGGUAGAAGCUGGAGUGCUGGUCAAGGCAAAUCUUCCCUGGAUAGCUCUUUGUGGUGUGUUUAUUGAGGCUUAUGGCAAAAGCCGAUACACAUUUUCCAAUGACAACUACUGGAACUUUGGACUGGAGAAUUCCCACUUGAGGGGUAUGUGCUGCCUUGCUAUGGGAUGUUAACUGAAACUAUCCCUAUGCUAAUGGAAAUAAUGGUGCCCAAAAGAGUUCCGUGAUACAAUGAAAAUGAAAAUGAUUUAUAUAGGCUCUUGCUACCAGGGGAUGCAUGGAAGAAAUACUUAGGAACAGGGAGUUCCUAGAUUCUGCGGUGCUUGAUAAACAUCUCUCAUUUGACGAGAGCUGCUUGGGUUGUGAAUGGCAUUUCCAAGAUUAACAAAUGCAUUCUUGUUUGGAAGACUGCUGCUCCGGUUAGAUAAGAGUCAAGGAUGUUUUGAGUUACUUAUAGCUUAGAACAAUUGAGUAAAGUGUGUUUUGGGGAGCAAAUUUUCCUUUUUGAGUUCUCCAAAAUUCAAAAAUUGUUCAUGAGUAUUCUGACUUUGUGACAAUAUAGUUAUUUGCAUAAAUUUAGAAAAAAGCCUUCUCUUUUAAAACAGGACAAUUGGAGAAACUGGUUGUUUUACCAAGGCUUUUACUAGAAUAACACAUUUUUAGGUAAAGUUCCAGAAAGCCAACUUGAAAAGAGCUUCUAUGACCAAUCAAUUCUUGCUGGACUUUAUGUGAAUAAUCAGGCUGAAUAUAAUAAGCCUGAAACUUACUUUGCACACAAAUUGAUCUUACUAUAGUUUCUCUUUAGUAGAAAAGGAGAGCUAGAGAAAGAAAGAAAUUCUUUCAAAGGAAAACUAUAACACCUUUUACUAGAUUACAUGAUUUUUGUUUUUGAGUGCAGAUGGACUCAUGAAUUAUUUCUGGGCUGCAAAAAUUCUCUAAAGAGUACCAGGUUAUAAUUUUCUUCAUGUUUUUAGUUGGUACCCUAAUAGAAUAUGUUCCUUUUUCUAUUCUGACACACACAUUCUUUUUUGAUUGUCAAGUUAUUAAUCUUAUCUCUUGUAGUUUUACUUCUGGGAAAAAAGAAAUCAUGAUAUUCUGAAAACUAGAAAUGACUUGACAAAUUCGGUGAAUCUCCCUCAUCUGGAAUCCCUCUGGGCCCAAUCUGUUUUUCACUGCAAAUACCCUGCUACUAAAAAUAUACAAGCACCAUUCUUCUAGGCCCAGGGACUAUUGUGGAAGAGGUGGGCACAUGAGAUUGUAAGCGCUGGUUUUGAGGGACAGCAUUAUUUCAGAUUCUCCCAAUCAAAGAAAAAUACACAGAUACCUAAGUAGUUGGUAAAAUAAGAGACAUUACCUCCUGGGUUAUUACGUAUGUGACCCCUUUUAAUCCCAGCCAUAAAGAAUUUCCUGCUCCCCAUAGAAUUAAAAUAAAAUUACUGAGGGAAUAUAAAAAUACCUCAUGACAAAGCCUCCUCAGUGUAAUACUCCCAAUUAUGAGAUUUAUGCCAAUGGAUACAUAUUUUUAAAAAAACUUUUAUCAGCCACCUUAGGACUAAUUACUAAAAGGCCACAAAAAGCAUGGUGGUACAACAAAAGACUCUAAAUUUCUUAGUUUAAAAGAUUUUAACAAUGAUUAUAUUUUGUAUAGUUCAUUGCAAUUCAUCUGUAACUAAACCCAAGAUCACAAUAGCGCAACAUAUAGAGAUUAAAGGUCUAUAGAUAAGUCAGUUUUGCAACUUCACCUUUGGCUUUUCAUUUGUUGGCUUUUAUAUAACUUCAAAAAUUGUAAGGGUUAGUGAAUGCCUGUUCACAUUCAUUCCCAUCUGGUCUAGAACAUUUAAAUUGGCUGUAAGUCUUUUGGUGCUAAGCCCCACGGCCAUAGUCAUCCUACCAAGGGACAGGAUGGACCCAGGGCAGCCAGCCAUGCCACCUCAGCAAUGUUAUGGGACAGAAUAAAAGUUUGGUGGCCACUGAUGUUGCCUCUGGAAAAUCUUAGCUAAAAGAAGUAGAAUGUAAACCAAAAAUAAAAUUCUAAGCCCCCUAAUCAUAUGAACAGACCCCUGCUCUUGGCCAAGGCCAUUCCAAAGUUAACCUGAAAAAUUACUUCAGGCCAUGGUGGGAAAUAGAUGUUGGACAUGCCUCACAGCUGACCAGCAUUAACAUCAACAUAGAGACCUUAAGAUUGAUAGAACUGACUCUAAGUCUGAUAAGGAAUAUUUACAGGCCAGUCAUGGUGGCUCAUGUCUGUAAUCCCAGCACUUUGGGAGGCUGAGGUGGGCAGAUCACAAGGUCAAAGUUUGAGACCAGCCUGGCCAACAUGGUGAAACCCCAUCUCUACUAAAAAUACAAAAAAUAGCCGGGUGGUGGCAGGUACCUGUACCUCCAGCUAUGCAGGAGGCUAAAGUAGAAGAAUCACUUGAACCUGGAAGGAGGUUGCAGCAAGCCAAGAUCGUGCCACUGCACUCCACCUUGGUCAACAGAGUGAGACUCUGUCUCAAAAAAAAUAAAUAAAUAAGAAAGAAACAUUUAUAAUCUAUUCUCUCUGAAGCCUGCUACCUAGAAGGCUUCAUCUACAUGCUAAAACCUUGGUCUCCACAACCCCUUAUUAUAACCCAGAAAUUCCUUUCUAUUGAUUCCAGGUCUUUAGAUAAUAAUCAAUUGCCAGUCAGAAAAUCUUUGAAUCUGCCUAUGAUCUGGAAGUCCUCUCACCCCCAAUCCCCCACUUCCACUGGUCCCGCAUUUGUGGAUAAACCAAUGUACAUGUAUUGAUUGAUGUCUUAUCUCUCCUUGAAAUAUAUAAAACCAAAUUGUAGCCCAGCCACCUUGGGCACAUGUUCUCAAGAUCUCCUGAGGGCUGUAUCAUGGACCACUGGUCACUCAUAUUUGGCUCAGAAUAAAUCUCUUCAAAUAUUUUACAGAGUAUGACUCUUUUAGUUGACAAUAGUCCCAAAGUAUACCACUAAUCCUAUUACUGGUUGCUUCUGAGAAGGGCAGAUUAUAGGAGUGACAAAAUUUGAACAAGACUGUAUCUGUCCUUAUCUUUAUGCUUAUGAGAGAUGUCACCUCCAACUCCUUUGGCUUAGUUGGUCUCUGGUGGGUUGUCUCAACCAUACCCCUUUUCCUUCUCUCAAGAUUUCUGAAGGCUUGAGUAGAUGAGACCUGAGUUUCAAGGUGAUAUGACUGGACAAUAUGAUGUGGUGACUCAUAGUCCAGGUAGUGUAACCAAAUAGCUUUUAAUCAGGACUCUGCUACUUUGGUCAAGUACCUUAAUUUGGGCCUUUUCCCCCAAAAAAAUAUAGACGAAUAGUCCCCAUCUCCUGAAAUUGUGUUUAUUGAGUAACAUAAUAUCCUGUUCAUUCAUAGAGUAAGUACUCAAUGCAUGGUAACUGGUAACUGAUAACUGUUUGUAUUGUAAUAGACAAUUGAAGGUACAUCUUCUCCCUUUAGGCUUUUGAGCCUAGAAUUUGAUUGGAUUGGCUGGGGCUGUUACAGCCUCAUGGGGGUGGAGGAACAUGGAUGUCUUUGGUCAAAUUGUUGAUCAUUGUAGCAGAAUCUAAAUUUGGCACACUAUAUCCAAUGUAUAAAACAUACAGCACUCAUUAGUUUCUAUAACUUGUCUUGAUGCUCCCAUUCCUGCUGGUGGCAGGGAAAAAUAAUAAAUUUUCCAAUUAUGAAGCAUAACUCAUUAACCUGCCAUUAUAAUAAGUUUGUUUUGUUUUGUUUUUUUGAGACCGAGUCUUACUCUGUUUCCCAGGCUGGAACACAGUGCAAUCUCAGCUCACUGCAACCUCUGCCUCCUGGGCUCAAGUGAUUCUUCUGCCUUAGCCUCCUAAGUAGCUGGGAUUAUAGGCACCCACCACCAUGCUCAGCUAAUUUUUGUGGUUUUAGUACAGACAGGGUUUCACCCUCUUGGCCAGAAUGGUGUCAAACUCCUGACCUCAUGCAAUCUGCCUGCCUCGGCCUCCCAGAGUGCUGGGAUUACAGGUGUAAGCCACUGCACCCGGCCAUAAAGAGUCUUUUUAGGGUCAACUUAGCGUCUUCAUAAAUAUUCUUAUUACUUGUCAAACUUUCAAUUAAUUCAUUUACUUAUUUAAGUCAAUAUCAACUCACAGAUUUCUGUUUCAUUCAGUGGGUUAUAAUUCAUUACUGUCAUUAUUUUGACGUUCAAGUGGCCCUAGAUUUGGUUAGUGAGAGUCCCAUUCAGGUUGGCUUUUGUGUCCUUUAGCCAUAUCCCGAUCAUUCUGAGCAGUUUCUGACUUUCUGACACCAGAUGUUCCAGUUUUGUUUUGUGUUUUCCCUGACCCAGCCUUGAAUCAUCCAUUUCAUGAAGGAAAGUCCUGAUUUUAAAAAGUCCUUUUAGCAGAGAAUGGUCUCUAGAAACCAAGGUUGGAUGCUGAGUAGGCUCGUUGCUAUAAAUUAAACACACACACACACACACACACACACACACACAGACACACACCUCUAUUUCUACAUGUCUAUAUGUUGACAACCACAAGUUCACACCAGAAUCUCUAAUUUCUUUUCUUUUCUUUUUUUUUUUUUGAGACGGAGUUUUGCUCUUGUUACCCAGGCUGGAGUGCAAUGGCGUGAUCUCAGGUCACCGCAACCUCCGCCUCCUGGGUUCAGGCAAUUCUCCUGCCUCAGCCUCCUGAGUAGCUGGGAUUACAGGCACGCGUCACCAUACCCAGCUCAUUUUUUGUAUUUUUAGUAGAGACGGGGUUUCACCAUGUUGACCAGGAUGGUCUCGAUCUCUCAACCUUGUGAUCCACCCGCCUCGGCCUCCCAAAGUGCUGGGAUUACAGGUGUGAGCCACCGUGCCCGGCCAGAAUCUCUAAUUUCAAAUUGAUACCGCAGGGUUCAUUUUGUUUUCUCCCUUUCCAUAUUUGUAUGCCCCUUCUCUGACCGGCACCUGGUUCCCAUUAACUUUAAAGUAUUUACUUAUUUGAUUAAUCCCACUCUAUGUAAUCAAUCUCUCAUCACUACUACAGCUCCUUCUUCCACACAGGUACCCUCCUUGGGCUUUGGCACCACAGGAGGAGGCCACUCUCCUGCACUGACUUCCUCUUCUUUCCAUUUGGGCUCUGAAAUUCCAUACCACCCUUGCUCCACAUGGACAUCCUCCUCCAACUCUGUCUUUCUACCCUGCUGUUCUACCCUUGCCAGUUCUUUUUAAUGGACUUGGAUUGAAUUGCCCACAAAGAGAAGGAAAGGGGAAACAAUAGGGAGAAGGGGAAGAGGAAGAAGAGGAAACGCAUUUUUUUCAGCUAUAAGAAUACAUUAAAAUUUUUUUAAAGUAUAACACAUAAAAAAGCAAACAAAUCUACCUUUAAAAAUAUCAAAUAUUGCCGGGCACGGUGGCUCACACUUGUAAUCUUAGCACUUUGGGAGGUCAAGGCAAGCAGAUACCUGAGGUCAGAAGUUCAAGGGCAGCCUGGCCAAUGUGGUGAAACCCCAUCUCUACUAAAAAUACAAAAAUUAGCUGGGCGUGGUGGCGCCUGGCUGAGGCACGAAAAUCACUUGAACCCAGGAGGCAGAGGUUGCAGUGAGCCAAGAUCAUGCCACUACUUCCAGCCUGGGUGGCAAAGUGAGACAAUGUCUCAAAAAAAAAAGUAUUGGCUUGGCACAGUAGCUUAUGCCUAUAAUCCCAGCACUUUGGGAGGCUAAGGUGGGAGGAUUGCUUAAGGCCAGGAGUUUCAGACCAGCUCUGAUGGUCUCUUUUUGUAGAGACCAUCUCUACAAAAAAUUCUAAAAAUUAGCCAGGCAUGGUAGCAUGUACCUGUAGUUCCAGCCACUCAGGGUGCUGAGACUGGCUAAUCACUUGAGCCCAGAAGUUCAAGGAUACAGUGAGCUAUGAUUGCACCACUGUACUCCAGCCUGGGCAACAGAGUGAGAACUUGUCUCAAAAAAGAUCAAGUAUCAAAUACAUAUUCUAUUCACAAUUACAAUUACUUAUUAAAGCAACAUUUAUCUUUGUUUACAAAUACAAUAGCAGGUGAGAAAACCUAACAACAUCUCAGAUUGCUUACUGUUUAUAAUGCAAACAAAAUAUGUGUCUCAAGUCAUGUUUUUAGCAGAUUAACAAAAUGAAUAGACAAUUACAUACAUUAAAUUUGUCGUUAAAAUGUUAAUUAAAAUAACAAUUUCAAGUAUUUUUCACCGAAACUUUUUUUUUUCCUUUUUUUUUUUUAAUGGCGUCCCAUCUGUCACUCAGGCUGGAGUGCAGUGAUGCAAUCUCAGCUCACUGCAACCUCUGCCUCCCAGGUUCAAGUGAUUCCUAUGCCUCAGCCUUCUGAGUAGCUGGGACUACAGGUGUGUGCCACCACACCUGGCUAAUUUUUAUAUUUUUAGUAGAGAUGGAGUUUCGCCGUGUUGGCCAAGCUGGUCUCAAACUUCUGACUUCAGGUGAUCCACCUGCCUUGGCUUCUCAAAGUGUUAGGAUUACAGGCAUAAGCCACCACACCUAGCCUCACUGAAACAAUUUAAGUGUACACAAAGUAAAGAGAUGUUUUCCUCUUUUUUGAUAGAUGAAGGCACUAUCACUGCUUAUCACUGAAGAGCACUUACAAAUUUGUAAGUAAACUUGACUGUUACAUUAGAUAAUACAUCUAAAGGCAGAGUAGGCAACUUAUUCCAAUGUAGGACAACCGUGAUGUACAUGUGUAUUAACCUGGAUUUUUAUUUUAAUGUUAGUUUCCAUAAAUAAUAGGUUUCAGAGCUGUGUGACCCAUUUAGCUAAAAAUAAGAUAAAUCAGGUGGAACUUAAAAAAAGGAAAAGCUUUGCUAAUCAAUACUCAAGAAUUAAAAUGAGAGGGAGGAUGAAAGGGGGGUAAGGAAUGAAAAUUUACCUACUGGGUACAACAUACAGUUUCUGGUGACUGGUAUAUUAAAAGUUUAGAUUUCACCACUAUACAGUUCAUCCAUGUAACCAAAAACUACUGGUACCCCUAAAGCUACUGAAAUUUAAAAAUAUAUAUAAAAUAAUUAAAAUAAACACUGGCUAAUGAUCUAAACACCAGACAGUUUUUACUGACAGUUUUUAAAUGUAUACUCUAAAAUAUGACCUCAAGAGGACCAUGUUUAUUAAUCCUAUAAAUAGAGAAAUCAUUUGUUUAAAUUAUGGCAACAUGAUUGUUUUCAAAAGUAUGUUUAUAUAGGGAAAUGGUGAUUAUAGAAAAAUAAAUAAUUUGCCAAUAAAGUUGCAGAUUCUAAUCUAUAUCAUCUUAGAUUUCUAAGUAUGUGGUUUCAUAAAUUAUAUCAAAUAACUAGUCAAUAUAAUUAAAAUAUUCACCAUAACUUUCCAUAAAAGGCAAACAAAAAUCAUAUUUGCAUUUUUAUCUGAAUGUUCUAAAUAUGAUAUCCAAGUUCAAGAGGCACAUACCUACUCUGAGAGAUGGAAGAAUUGUUUCAUAAAUGCCUUCUAAGAAUACUGAAACCAGCAUUUUAGUAUUUGCAUUCAUGGGUACACACACACACACACACACACACACACACACAAACACACAUACACAAUACACAGGCAUACCUUUAAGAUAUUGCAGGUUCAGUUCCAGAUCACUACAAUAAAGCAAGUAUAAUAAAGCAAGUCACAUAAUCUUUUUUGGUUUUCCAGUCCAUAUAGAGACAAGGUGUCACUCUGUUGGCCUGGGUGGUCUCAAAUGCCUGACCUCAGGUGAUCUGCUCACCUUGGCCUCCCAAAGUGCUGGGAUUACAGGCGUGAGCCACUGUACCUGGCCAUAAGGAGUCCUUUUAGGGUCAACUUAGCCUCUUCAUAAAUAUUCCAUUAGUCAUUAAACUUUCAAUUAAUUCAUUUAUGUUUUAUGUUUAUACACUGUACUAUAUAGUCUGUUGUGUGCAAUAGCAUUAUGUCUAGAAACACAAUGUACGUACCUCAGUUUAAAAACACUUUACUGCCAAAAAAUGCUAACAAUCAUCUGAGGCUUCAACAAUGUUUUUGCUGGUGGAGUGUCAGGCCUCCAUGUUAAUGGCUACUGACCGAUCAGCGUGGUGGUUGAUGAAUGUUGGGUGGCUAUGGCAAUUUCUUUUCUUUUUUUUUUUUGAGACAGAGUGUCUCUCUGUUGCCCAGGCUUGAGCGCAGUGGCACAUUCAUGACUCACUGUAGCCACAACCUCUCAGGCUCAAGCAAUCCUCCCACCUCAGCUUCCCUGAGUAGCUGGGACUACAAACGAGAUUAUAUUAAACUUGCUGGAUGCAAGAAAAUAAGAGGACAAAACUAGAGAUAUAAAACUUGGAAAGGAGGAAGUACAAGUCAUACCAUUUGCAAAUAUGAAUACUUAUAACCCCAGGAAACCAAAGAAAAUCAGCUGAAGAGCUACCAUAAACAAGAAGAGAAUCCGGUAAGACUGCAAACAGUAAUAGCCUUCACAUACACAAGCAACAGCUAGUAUUAAUAGAAAGUAUCAUGGAAAAUAUCCCAUUUAUCAUAGUAUAAAUAAUGGAUGAACAAAUGAAUGAACAGGGAAUACAUAACAGGGAAUGUUCCUAUAUGAAGAAACUAUACUAAACAUAUUUGAAAGCUGUAAGAAAAAUAGGCAUACAAUGAAUUUGUAUAGGAAGACUCAAUGUUAUAAAGGUAUCAUUUCUCCUUACAUUAAUAUAUAAAAUUGUCACAAUCUCAAUAAAAGUACCAUCAGAUUCUUUUUGCUGGAACUAAACAGGUUGAUAAUAAAGUUUAUAUGAAAAACCAAAUAAGAACAACUAGGAAAAUCCAGAAAAGAAGAGCAGUAAGGAGUCUGAUCUUACCAGAUAUUAGAACAAAUAUUAUAAAUCAUAUAUAAGUAAACUAGUAGGGCAAUGGUACAUUAAUGGACAGAUCAACCAGUGGAACAGAACAGAAAAUCCAGAAAAGGAGGCAAUUGCAUAUGAAAAUCUAGUAUAUGAUAAAGAUGACGUCUCAAAACAGUGGGAGAAAAAAUAGACUAUGGUUUUUUAAUUUUUAAUUUUUUGAGGAAACAGUAACUGGGUUACUGAGUAGCUGGGACUACAGGCACGCACCACCAUGCCCAGCUAAUUCUUGUAUAUUUAGUAGAGAUUGGGUUUCACCGUGUUAGCCAGUCUGCUCUCAAACUCCUGACCUCAAGUGAUCCACCCACCUUGGGCUCCCAAAGUACUAGGAUUACAGGUAUGAGCCACCAUGCACGGCCCCCCAAAAAAAGUUUUUUUAAUUAACUGGGCUUGGGGGUGCAUGCCUGUAGUCCCAGCUACUUAGGGAGGCUGAGGUGGGAGGAUUACUUGAGCCCAGGAGAUCAAGACUGCAGCAGUGAGCAGUGAUCACACCACUGCACUCCAGCCUAUGGGAUAGAGUGAGACCCUGUCUCAAAAAAAAAAAAAAAGAGAAAAGGAAAAGCCUAGUGAAAUCCAAAUAAAGUGCACAGCUUAGUAGCAGGUAUCAACAUUGAUUCCUUGGUUUUCACAAAUGUACCACCUCAAUAUAAAAUUUUAACAAUAGGGUAACCUGAGUGAGGGGUAUACAAAAAUGUUCUGUACUAUCUUUGCAACUUUUAUGUAAAUUAAAAAAAAUUUUAAUUAAAAAUUUCUUGGGGAAAAAUGAUGCAAAUACUAGAAGAAAACAAAGGUGAAUUUCUCUAUUGGGAGUGGGAGGACAUUUAUUAACUAUUCCUCAAAACCUAAAAGUGGUCAUGUGUGGUAGCUCAUACCUGUAAUUUUAGCACUUUGGGAGGCUGAGGCAGGAGCAUUGCUUGAGCUCAGGAGUUCGAGACCAUGGUAAAAUCUUGUCUCUAUGAAAAACACAAAAAUUAUCCAGGUGUGAUGUGGGCCUGUAGUGCCAGCUACUAGGAGGCUGAGGUGGGAGGAUCACUUGAGGCCAGGAGGUUGAGGCUGCAGUGAGCUGAGAUUGUGCCACUGCAGUCCAGCGUGUGCAACAGAGUGAGAUCAUGUCUCAAAACAAACAAACAAAAACCUAGAAGCAAUAAGGGAAAAGAUGAAUAAAUCUGAUAAGACAAAAAGGCAUGUAUUUGUUUGCUAGGUUUACCAUAACAAUCACAGACUGGGUGGCUCUUAAACCGGAGGUUCCCAACCCCAAGGCCAUAGACUGGGUCGUAUGGUGGUACCAUUUCAGGAUACCAGUCUAUGGCCUGUUAGGACUGGGGACACACAGCAGGAGGUGGGCACAAGUGAGGAUUACCGCCUGAGUUCUGCCUCCUGUCAGACCAACAGCAGCAUUAGUUUCCCAUAGGAGUGCGAACGCUUUUGUGAACUGCACAUGCGAAGCAUCUAGGUUGCAUGCUCCUUAUGAGAAUCUAAUGACUAAUGAACUGGAGUUUCAUCCUGAAAUCAUCUCCCACGCAAGUCCAUGGAAAAAUUGUCCUUCAAACCAGUCCCUGAUGCCAAAAAGGUUGGGGACUGCUUACUUAAAUAACAGAAAUUCAUUUUCUCGUGAUUUUGGAGGCUACAAUUUUGAAAUCAAAGUGUUAUCAGGGUUGGUUUCUUCUGAUGUCUUUCUCGUUGGUUUGUUGAUGGCUGCCUUCUCUUUGUCUUCUCAUGGUCUUUCUCCUGUGUCUGUGUCCUACUCUCCUCUUAUAAGAGGACAUAAGGGCUGGGUCCAGUGGCUCACGCCUGUAAUCCCAGCACUUUGGGAGGCCGAGGCAGGCAAAUCACAUGAGGUCAGGAGUUUGAAACCAGCCUGGUCAACAUGGUGAAACCCUAUCUCUACUAAAAAUACAAAAAUUAGCUGGGCAUGGUGGCACAUGCCUGUAAUCCCAGCUACUCAGGAGGCUGAGGCAGGAGAAUUGCUUGAACCCGGGAGGCGAAGGUUGCAGUGAGCCACAUUCACACCACUGCACUACAACCUGGGUGACAGAGUGAGACUCCACCUCAAAAAAAAAAAAAAAAAAAAAGGAUUAGAGCCUACCAAUAAGACCUCAUUUUACAUGCAAGGAUAUGGUGGCUCACACCUGUAAGCCCAAUACUUUGGGAGGCUGAGGUGGGUGGAUCAUUUGAGGUCAGGAGUUGGAGACCAGCCUGGCCAACAUGAUGAAAUGCUAUCACUACUAAAAAAAAAAAAAUUUACCAAGUGUGGUGGCUCAUGCCUGUAGUCCCUGCUACUCAGGAGGCUGAGGCAGGAGAACCACUUGAACCCAGAAGAUGGUGCUGUGAGCUGAGAUCAUACCACUGCACUCUAGCCUGGGUGACAGAGCAAGAGUCAUCUCAAAAAAAAAAUUCUCUUUCUAAAAAUGGAAAAGAGAAAGACCAAGAAUUAUAUUUUUAAAUGAUCAGAUAUUUCACACAAAAAAGAAAUGCAAAGACAUUGGAAAAUAUACUUAACUUGGCCCAUCAUAAAUUCUCACUUUCCACCUAUCAGAUUGGCAAAACUCCAAGUUGACAAAUAUACUUUGUUACCAGGCUUGAGUUAACGGGCAUUUUUACACAUCUCUGAUAGGAAUACAAAAAUAGUACAAGCCUCGUGGAGAAGAACUUAGCACUAUAUAGCAAAAUGACAUGUGGAAAUGUCUUUGAGCCAGAAACCUAACUUCCAGGAAGACAUCCUGAGGAUUCACUGGCAAAAAUAUGAAAAAAGUAUACAAACAAAGUUGGUCAUUGCAGCACUAUUUGUAAUAGCAAAAGACUGGAAACAGUCCAAAUAUUCAGUAGGAGACUAGUUUAAUAAACUGUAGUGCUUCCACACAAUGGAAUCAUAGGCAUCAUGUAAAGGAAUGAAGAACAUCUCUGUAUACUACCAUGGAGUGAUUUCUAGAAUAUACUGUUAAGUGGAAAAGCAAGGUACAGAAAAGUAUACACUUUAAUGUUACCAUUUGAGAGAGGAAGGAGAUGAAAAAUUUAUCAAAAUUGGUAAGAGUCCUGUCAAAGGACUCAGGAGCCAGAUCAAAGGGUCUUCCACCAGCCCAAAAAAGAGACAAUUUGAAUAUCAUUAAAAAUGACCACUACAAUGAAGUAAAACACUCAAAUAUCAUUAAAUUCAUGAGUUUGCAGUGUUAUUCAAAUCCAAAAACUCAGUGAUUUUUGCAGAAUCAAUUAUUUUUUCUGAAAAUUAGUAAUUGAUAUAGUUUGGCUGUGUCCCCACCCAAAUCUCAUCUUUAAAUGUAGCUCCUAUAAUCCCCAUGUAUUAUGGGAGGGACCCGGUGAGAGGUAAUUGAAUCAUAGGGUGGGUUUUUCCCAUGCUGUUCUUAUGAUAGAGAAGUCUCACAAAAUCUGAUGGUUUUAUAAAGGGCAGUUCCCCUGCACACACUCUCUUGCCUGCCACCAUGUAAGAUGUGCUUUUGCUCCUCCACCUUCCACCAUGAUAAUGAGGCCUCCGCAACCAUGUGGAACUAUGAGUCCAUUAAACCUCUUUUUCUUUAUAAAUUA